rnacentral:rRNA from 1 species
UGGGGAAUAUUGGACAAUGGGCGCAAGCCUGAUCCAGCCAUGCCGCGUGAGUGACGAAGGUCUUCGGAUUGUAAAACUCUUUUGGCGGGGACGAUAAUGACGGUACCCGCAGAAUAAGCCCCGGCUAACUUCGUGCCAGCAGCCGCGGUAAUACGAAGGGGGCUAGCGUUGUUCGGAAUCACUGGGCGUAAAGCGCACGUAGGCGGAUGUGCCAGUCAGGGGUGAAAUCCCGGAGCUCAACUCCGGAACUGCCUCUGAUACUGCACGUCUUGAGUUCGAGAGAGGUGGGUGGAAUUCCUAGUGUAGAGGUGAAAUUCGUAGAUAUUAGGAAGAACACCGGUGGCGAAGGCGGCCCACUGGCUCGAUACUGACGCUGAGGUGCGAAAGCGUGGGGAGCAAACAGGAUUAGAUACCCCAGUAGUCCCUGAGCGGGCUGGCAAGGCGCAU